UGAUGUGGUAAAAUGUUAUUACUUCUUUUGCUUCUGAUGGAUUUCUUUUAGAUUCACUCCGAUCUUCCGAUCUGGAGGCCAUCGAGGUUGCGAUGCUGCCUGAGACUUGCCUCUUCUAGUCUUCAGAAAAUGUUACUACGUUUUCAUCUGCCAUUCUGCUUUAAUCAUGGCGCUUGUCGAGGCUACUUUGGAAUGGAAUAUACAGAAUCAAUGCACUUCGAUUGCCAAUGGUAGAUAGAGGCCAUCUAAUGAUUACAAUGCUGCCCAAUAUACGUAUGUACCUUGCAGCUUUUAGAAAGGAUUCACCGUGGAGCUUGUCAAGACCACUUUGGUUGGGAUGUGACAUAUAGGGUGCGUUAGGGUUAACCUUCGAUUGCCAAGGACAGGUGGAGGCCAUCGAAUGAUUGCGAUGCUGCCGGAGACGUGCCACCUUCAGGUCUUCUGCAAUUCCUAAUUUACAUGGAGCGCCUCAAUACCACUUGUAAAUGGAAUAUACAGGAGUCAAUUCCACCUCGAUUGUCAACGAACUUCUGAAGACGGAGGCCAUCCAGGAUUGCGACGUGCCACUUUCACGUUAGGGAAGGUGGCCAACUUUUCCAUAUGGGAUUCCACAACGAAGUGCCCGUAAGCCUUGCGUUACGCCGGAGAAAAACAGUUUUGAAGAAGUCGCCUCGUCUCUAUGAAGUUGCAGCCACAGGAGCUGUGAAGCAAACCACGUCCAUUUGGAGAACCUGGAAAAUACAAGUCCUUUUGAAAGCCUUCUUGAAAAAUUCAAAAAUCAAAAAACUUUUUUGAAAACUCUUGAAAAAU